AGUUUUGCUAAAUAUACCUCUAGACUCAGAAAGCAUUAUAAAAGCCAAAAGGAAGAUGUAAUGCGUUUGGUCACGGAUGGUAUAUCGUAUUUUGGGGUUGUUCCCCUCGUAUUUUCCUCACACUAACACUGGCGGAAAAGCCAGACAACCUACUAGAAAGUAACCAACCAUUCAAUUUACACAUCGCGAAUAAAGGUCGAGGUAUUUUUUUUGGUUUGGACAUCGGUAUCAGAUAAAUGUUGGUAGCAGUUACACAACGUCUUAUCCAUCAUUGCGAAGUCUUGAAUACCCGUGUCGCUGGUUACGGCGUAUAAAUAAAAAGUUGACACGCGAAAGCAAUACAGCCAAGUUGUAUUUAAAGAAACGCAGGUAGAGGUAACUCAACGCGAAAGGGGGAAUUUUAAAAAUGGCAUAAAAAUAUUAGUGCUUCUUAUCACGAAUGUAAUGAAAAUUAAAUCUUUUUUUUUGUGUGCUUCGAAAUUUCAUUACCAAAAAAAAACCCUGUAUUAAUCUGGCGUACCUUAUUUUUUUUCAGACUCGGUUCAGCUGGCUUUUGAUGGUAUGAAUUUUUAAAUGAUACAAGUUCUUGACCUUUGGUGGUAGAAAUUUACAUACGUACAUAGCGAUCAGUGUAAACGAACUAUACCUAUGCAAAUUUAAUCGAAGCAUAACCAACCAACCAUUAAAAUAAGGUGUACAUUUACUUCCUAUUUUUGGAAUGAGUUUUCACACCGAAGGAGUUAUAGCCAAAGCCAAACGUCGCCAACACCACCCUCAACAAUAAUACCAGUACCUGCCUGGGGUAUCCUUACAUAUUAGAUAUGUAAAUUGUAAAACAAACUAGGAAUUUCCCGCAAACAGUUCGAAUUUGUUCAGCGCAAUCAAAGACGUGAAAGUAUAAAAGUAAACUGUAUCCUUGAACAGGGUAGGGUAAUAGUUCGAUGAAUCGAAUGAAAACGAGCAAAAGGAAGUUAUUAAAUAUCCUGCAGCAGUUUUCCAUCAAAGGUGAUACCCAAGUCUUUGUCAAGGUUCGAAGGUUCUCAUUUCAAAGUCAGCGUCGUUGUUUCAAAUUAAACUUGCAUCUUGAAAAUAUAUUUUCAAACUAAAACCGGGACACAUCGAGAUGAAGCCGGCUCCUGGUUUGGAAAAUAUAGGCAACUACUUGAACGCUUGAUCUAAUUCGACGUUCGAAUAAAACUACGAAUAUGAUUUUGAAUCGUUCGGAUAAAAGUACCAGUUUUCGAAAAAAUUUCCGCAUAGAGAUGCAAUUUGAAAACAUGAAAUGCACUCAGCGUUACAACGUAGAAUGCUAUUUAUGAAAAUGCAUUUAAAAAUUAAAAAUCACUUCGACACGUUUCCUCGUUGAAAAACAUUAAUUUCCGUUUACCUUGUUUGCUCGAAUGCAGAUUGUGCGGUUUGGCGAGUUCGCAAAAUUGAUUUCUUAAAGGAAAUCGAAACGUUGACGUAAUUUCGAACGAGUGGGACGUGGACGCGGUGGACGUGUUUUGAAAGAUUUCGUAGCGAUGAAAUGUCACACGAAGAACGCGACAUUAGACAUCAGCAGUUAUGAUUACCUGUACCAUGAGUAAAAGUAUACCUACGCACAUAUAAUAUGGAGCACAAUUGCUGAACAAAUUUGAAGAUACAUUUUGGUCAAGGUUGACAACACGUACGAAAUAAGAAAUAUGUAAUUAUUGUUUAUUUCGUGGAUUAUUCGUAUACCUUAUUGUACUCGAAGGGCGUAUAAAUGAAUUGUAGGUAUUCGUUAGCGUUUCAUCUGCGCUGCGUACCUAUACUCUCCUAACAAUAA